AAAGAAAAGACCCAGGAAGACCUGGAGGAGGCGGCGUUUACCUUGGGAUCUGAAGGAUGCCAAGAAUCUGCUCCCCUGCUUGCUAGAGGAAGAAGGGUCCAGUCUGAGAACAACACACAUGAAGACCCAGAGGUAGGACCCAAAACAAAGACCCCACAAAGGACCCUUGGACAAGGACAGCCAGAGGAUGGGGGAGGAAAUCAGAGGCGUGUCAUCGACGCACAGGAAGAGCAUUUCACAAGCAUCUCUACCAUGCAACACUGGACAAACAUUUUGAAAAACAGGUAACAUGACCUGAAAAGAGGUCCACAAAAUACUGGAUUUAAAAAGAUUGCAUAAGGCUGGGCACGGUGGCUCAUGCCUGUAAUCCCAGCACUUUGGGAAGCCAAGGUGGGUGGAUCGCUUGAGCCCAGGAGUUCAAGACCAGGCUGGCCAACGUGGUGAACCCCAUCUCUACAAAAAGUACACAAAUUAGCCGACGUGGUGGCACAUGCCUGUCAUCUCAGCUACUGGAGUGGCUGAGGCACGAGAAUUACUUGAACCCCGGAGGCAGAGGUUGCAGUGAGCCGAGAUUGCACCACUGCACUCCAGCCUAGAUGAAGCAAGAUUCUGUCUCAAAGGCAAAAAAAAAAAAAAAAAAAAAGAUAGCAUAGUAUGAUCUACUUUUGUAAAACCAGAAUCAAAGCUAUAUGAUAACACAUGUUGAACCCUUUCAACAUGCCAAGCCUUCUUCAAUAGGCUUUACGUAUAUUAACACACUGAAUUUUCACAAUAGCCCUACGAAAUGAGUAUGAUUUUUCAUCAUCACUUUACAAAUGGGGAAACUAAGGCCCAGACGCAUCAAAUGUAGUUCCCAAGGCUACAGCUGGUACGUGGUGAGGGAUGGGUGUCAGCCAUAAGCAAUACAUGUAGCUGGACAGAGGAUUCACUGAAAGAAACAUCAGGGGGUGUUUUGAAGAAAGUGAAAUGAGUUUGAGAUGCUGCAGCAUGUGCAGUGAUGUCCAGGAGGUAACCACAGAUGUGAGCGGCAAGCUCAAGACAGUCAAAAUCCAAAAUGCAGACGUGGCAUGUUGUAGUCCAUGAGCAGUAGCUGUGGACAGAGGAAGAGAGGAGCUGGGGGCCGGACGUGGUGAAGCAUCUGUGGGAGACGGGAAGGAAGGCAAUGCUUUGUGGAAGUUUGGCCAUCGAGAGAGUGUUGCAGCUGGAGGGGCCUCAGGUGGAGAGAGGAAGGCGCAUCUACCCAGCACACCUGUGUAGAUGGAAGAAAGGAAGAAAGACCAGAAGGCAGAAAGCCUCAGGCAGGGCGAGGAUGGAGGCAGACAGAUGAGGCCCUGGGGUGGCGUGGGAGCACCUCGGCAUGGGCUCCUCCAACAUUAGGAGGGAGUCCAGGGGAACAUGGCAAAGGUGAAAAAAUGAUAGAAAAUCAGAAAGUGAGGAAGAAAUUAAUGCCGUUUUAUGAUAGUCUCAACAGAAGAAAUUAAACUCGAUGAAAUGUGAAUACUCACACAUGACAAUGCCCAACAGAGGCUGAGAAAAAGCCAGUUUCGUGUUGCCAUAACACAAAAUGUUUCUUGUAACUCCAUCUUUGAAUUGUAAAGUUACAUAAUCAUCCAAAUAUAGUAUACUUUAUUUGUAAAAAGGAGUAUUUCCUUACACAGUCUCUGCAUACUGUUUCUUGAUACUGUGUGCCAUCUUGAUGCUUUAUCUCCAUUAAACUCUAGACUUAGGUUCAUCCAUCAGAAAGGUAAGACGUGGAGCCAAACAGAUAGAUAGCUGUGUGCACAACUGCACUCUGCGGGGCCCAAAGACCAUGCCCACAUAUAGUUAACUGAAAGUGUGGAACUUUAGUGUGCUUGUGUGUUUGUUUGUUUUGAGAAGAAUUUUCACUCUCGUAGCCCAGGCUGGAGUGCAGUGGCGUGAUCUCAGCUCACCACAACCUCUGCCUCCGAGGUUCAAGCGAUUCUCCUGCCUCAGCCUCCCGAGUAGCUGGGAUUACAGACAUGUGCUACCACGUCCGGCUAAUUUUGUAUCUUCAGUAGACACGGGGUUUCUCCAUGUUGGUCAGGCUGGUCUCAAACUCCUGACCUCAGGUGAUCCGCCCACCUCGGCCACCCAAAGUGCUGGGAUUACAAGCCUGAGCCACCACGCCCAGCUGGAACUUUAGUAUUAAUGUAAAGAGAGAGAGAGAGAGAGAGAGAGAGAGACGGAGAGAGAGAGAGAGAGAGAGAGAGGGGGAGAGAGAGAGAGAGAGAGAGAGAGAGAGAGAGAGAGAGAGAGCUCACUGGUAUUUCACUAAGUAAUGCUCUAUAAAUAAUGAUAAUAUUUUAAUCUUUUACAAACUUAUAAAGCCUACACAUUUCUAAGUCCUGCUGCCUCUCCCUGUGUCACGCAGCAUCUUCACCCAUUUUAACCACAUCAUGACAGUCUAGGUGAAUAUCCUGCAUUUCUAAGAACCAAGAUAAUAUCAAGAUUUUGUCUUGGUAACCACCAUUCUUCUGCUUCUAUGAGUUCAACUUUUUUAGAUUCCGCAUCUAAGUGAGAAUAUGCAGAAUUGUCCUUCUUCUGUACCUGGCUUAUUCUACUCCAUG
rnacentral:lncRNA from 1 species